rnacentral:rRNA from 1 species
ACGGGUGAGUAAUACACCGGAACGUAUCCUGGAGUGGGGGAUAGCCCGGCGAAAGCCGGAUUAAUACCGCAUACGCUCUGAGGAGGAAAGCGGGGGACCUUCGGGCCUCGCGCUCAAGGGGCGGCCGAUGGCGGAUUAGGUAGUUGGUGGGGUAAAGGCCUACCAAGCUGACGAUCCGUAGCUGGUCUGAGAGGACGACCAGCCACACUGGGACUGAGACACGGCCCAGACUCCUACGGGAGGCAGCAGUGGGGAAUUUUGGACAAUGGGGGCAACCCUGAUCCAGCAAUGCCGCGUGUGUGAAGAAGGCCUUCGGGUUGUAAAGCACUUUUGUCCGGAAAGAAAUCAUCGGGGCCAAUACCCCUGGUGGAUGACGGUACCGGAAGAAUAAGCACCGGCUAACUACGUGCCAGCAGCCGCGGUAAUACGUAGGGUGCGAGCGUUAAUCGGAAUUACUGGGCGUAAAGCGUGCGCAGGCGGUGCUGUAAGACCGAUGUGAAAUCCCCGGGCUUAACCUGGGAACUGCAUUGGUGACUGCAGCGCUGGAGUAUGGCAGAGGGGGGUGGAAUUCCACGU